rnacentral:rRNA from 1 species
UACAGAGGGUGCGAGCGUUAAUCGGAAUUACUGGGCGUAAAGCGUGCGUAGACGGUUAUUUAAGUCGGGCGUGAAAGCCCCGGGCUCAACCUGGGAAUUGCAUUCGAGACUGAAUAGCUAGGGUACGGUAGAGGGAAGUGGAAUUUCCGGUGUAGCGGUGAAAUGCGUAGAUAUCAGGAGGAACACCGGUGGUGUAGACGGCUCACUGGACCGUAACUGACGCUGAGACACGAAAGCGUGGGUAGCAAACAGG